rnacentral:tRNA from 1 species
GCCGAUGUGGUGUAGCCUGGUUAGCACCGGGGACUGUGGAUCCCCGAGCUCGGGUUCAAAUCCCGGCAUCGGCC